AUAUCCAUAAGCGGAGGAAAUCUGGCUAACAAGGAUUCCCUCAGUAACGGCGAGUGAAGAGGGAAGAGCUCAGUUUUGAAAUCUGGCAGUGUUUCACUGUCCGAGUUGUAAAUUGUAGAGAAUGUUCAUCCACGCUGGACCACGUCUAAAUUGUAAUGAUCCACAGUCCUUUGAUGGAGUAUCAGAGAGGGUAAUAAUCCCGUCUUUAACGUGGACUGCCAGUGUUUCUGUGAUGCACUCUCUCAGAGUCGAGUAGUUUGGGAAUGCUGCUCUAAUGGGAGGUAAACUCCUUCUAAAGCUAAAUAUUGGCGAGAGACCGAUAGCGAACAAGUACCGUGAGGGAAAGAUGAAAAGAACUCUGGAAAGAGAGUCAAAUAGAACGUGAAAUUGCUGAAAGGGAAGCGUUUGGAGUCAGAUGCGUCUUCAUGCAAUACAACUCAGUGGCAGAGGCUGAGAAGGGUGACUUGAAGACGGGCCAGCAUUCACGAAGACCAUUGAAGAAGGUGCCAUGGAAUGUAGCUCAGUUUUCUGAGUGUUUAUAGCCUUGGUUUCAGAAGCAAUGUGUCUUUGUGAGAUGAGACAGCACGAUUUUUUUUUUCAGUGCUUGAUGGACUGGCAUAAUGGCUCUAAGCGACCCGUCUUGAAACACGGACCAAGGAGUCUAACAUGUAUGCGAGUAUUAGAGUGAUUAAAACUCUGAAUGCACAAUGAAAGUGUUUUUGACUGAGAAUCCUCAAUUUAAGGGGGAGGCAUCAGUACCCCGAGUCUGUUAGUCUUUGACUUGAGAUUUGGAGGCAGAGCAUAUAUGUUGGGACCCGAAAGAUGGUGAACUAUGCCUGAAUAGGGUGAAGUCAGAGGAAACUCUGAUGGAGGCCCGUAGCGAUUCUGACGUGCAAAUCGAUCGUAGAAUUUGGGUAUAGGGGCGAAAGACUAAUCGAACCAUCCUUAGUAGCUGGUUCCUGCC
rnacentral:rRNA from 1 species